CCAAACUUGGUCAUUUAGAGGAAGUAAAAGUCGUAACAAGGUCUCCGUUGGUGAACCAGCGGAGGGAUCAUUACAGAGUUUUAUAACUCCCUAAACCAUUGUGAACCUUACCUUUACCGUUGCUUCGGCGGGCGGGCCGGCCCCAGGGCCGCGCCCCCCAGGCCCCCCCGCGGGGCGCCCGCCGGAGGAAACCAAACUCUUGAUACUUUAUGGCCUCUCUGAGUCUUCUGUACUGAAUAAGUCAAAACUUUCAACAACGGAUCUCUUGGUUCUGGCAUCGAUGAAGAACGCAGC
rnacentral:misc_RNA from 1 species